GUAAAAUUAGUUUAUAAAAAAUACUAGGUUGUGGGCUUAGAGAAAAAAAUUUUUUUUAUUUUACU
rnacentral:tRNA from 1 species